rnacentral:lncRNA from 1 species
GAGCCAUGCAGCUGCGGACCAAAUGUAGGGUAAUAACUAGCAGUUGGCCAUUACGGGGUUAACUGCUGGUGUUCUGGUGAGUGUAAAAAAAUGUGGAGGUCCCGCUCAAAAACACAGCCAAAAUGUGAAUAGUUCCAUUGGGUCGGAGUUAAAAUGCUUCUGCUUCCUUUUCAACUGCUGAUUAUUUUCAGGAUACCAAUCUUGUGGGAGUGUCUAACACAUGUAUUAUUAUAAUUGUAAUUUUUUUGAUAACUAUGUCAUAGUUUUCCAACAUGCUUUUAAUUGAAACAAGGGAUCAUU